rnacentral:rRNA from 1 species
UCAGAACGAACGCUGGCGGCAGGCUUAACACAUGCAAGUCGAGCGCCCCGCAAGGGGAGCGGCAGACGGGUGAGUAACGCGUGGGAAUCUACCCAUCUCUACGGAAUAACGCAUGGAAACGUGUGCUAAUACCGUAUACGUCCUUCGGGAGAAAGAUUUAUCGGAGAUGGAUGAGCCCGCGUUGGAUUAGCUAGUUGGUGGGGUAAAGGCCUACCAAGGCGACGAUCCAUAGCUGGUCUGAGAGGAUGAUCAGCCACACUGGGACUGAGACACGGCCCAGACUCCUACGGGAGGCAGCAGUGGGGAAUAUUGGACAAUGGGCGCAAGCCUGAUCCAGCCAUGCCGCGUGAGUGAUGAAGGCCCUAGGGUUGUAAAGCUCUUUCACCGGUGAAGAUAAUGACGGUAACCGGAGAAGAAGCCCCGGCUAACUUCGUGCCAGCAGCCGCGGUAAUACGAAGGGGGCUAGCGUUGUUCGGAUUUACUGGGCGUAAAGCGCACGUAGGCGGACUAUUAAGUCAGGGGUGAAAUCCCGGGGCUCAACCCCGGAACUGCCUUUGAUACUGGUAGUCUUGAGUUCGAGAGAGGUGAGUGGAAUUCCGAGUGUAGAGGUGAAAUUCGUAGAUAUUCGGAGGAACACCAGUGGCGAAGGCGGCUCACUGGCUCGAUACUGAC